ACUUGCCUUCCUGUAGCCCGUGUGACAGACUUGAAACAAUAUUCUUCAGUAUUUCUUCUGUGGUGGUGUUUAUACCUCUAUUGGGGACCUCUGGAAUGGAGACAUUUGAUCUGCCUUGUAGGGAAAGUUUAUAACCUGCUCUACUGAUUUUUUUUUUUCAGGGGCUAAGAGCUAAGGAUUUUCUUUGUCCCCCUGAGGAGACUUUGCACUCGGACUUUUCAGUGUUGGAGCCGUCAGGACUCUGGGUGGUGCUUGGAGACCAUAGGCCUUUAAAUCAUACCUAGUAGAAGGAGCCAAGUGCCUCUGAAGAGAGUCUAGGGACCCUGGCUGCUUCUUCUGUUGUAUGCUUCCACCAUGGUGUGUUAUGGGAUGUGACCAAAUGCCCAGAGCAAGAACACUACAGAACCAUUCAUGGAAGCCUCUGGAAACACCACCCGGAAUAAGCCCCUCCUCCUUCCUGCAAGUUGGUUUAUCUCGGGUAUUUGUAACAGAGACCACAGAUAAAGAGAAGAGCUAUGAGCGACAGCUGGCAAUUUUAUCAAUAAAGGAUGGAAUCGUUGGGGAAAAUCCAACUGUGAGUUAGAGUAGCCUCAUGCUACCUGGAAAGGCAAGAUGACCAAGGAGCAGCAGAUCCAUCCUAUUGGCUUAUACAGAAAUUCAUUCUGCACCGGAUGCCGUGAGCAUCGGAUUCAGCAGGGUGCGCACAGGGAAUUCCUCAUCUAGAACAAGGAGGCCAUUUAGUGAGUUGGAAUUAGUGGAAGGUGUUAGUCUCUUGGAAGCCAAUGCCUGGAUACCCUCGGGGAGAUUUCCAAACCCUUAUUCCCUUAGGAUCAAAGUUAAGAAAACCUGUUUGGAUGAAGAUAAGGUUCUUAGUGAAGACCAAGAGAUACAAGGGACGAUUGGAGGGCUACCCAAAUAAGUUCUUUAAGAGGACAGAACUGGGGUCUCAAAAUUGGCCCCACCACCACGGGCAUCUGCUGAGGCAGGUGGCUCGGGAGCCCCCAGUGUUUAGGUUCCCCUUGAGGGCGCUCUGGUGUCUAUAGAUGUGCUUAAGAACAAGAGUUGUCUUCAACACGUAGAACUCUGGCCCAUUCACUUGCAGGAACUCCGGAGUGAGCGUUGCCCGGUGGAGGAGUGAACUUGGUGCACUGCUCCGACCCAGCUGAGCUUGGAGGGAAGCCCAGCCUCAAGCUAGCGGCAUUGCUCUUGACCAAGUGCAACCGCUUCAGCCUGUGACUCUGGUAUGGGCAUCUCUGAGCCGUGCUCCUUGAUGAGAGCGUGGGUGCCACGCUGCAGCAAUGAAGGUAACUGACUGACGGGCCCUUCUGAGGCUCGGCCCCAACAGCAAGGCUGGAAAGACUGUGUCUAGGAAACAUCUGGGCGUUGUCAGGAUAUGCAGCGGCACUUACAAAAGAGAACAGAACAAAAGAGCGCAUACACUUUUAGAAAUCCUUCCAAUUACAGAUCAAAGCACACGAA